UACGAAGGGGGCUAGCGUUGCUCGGAAUCACUGGGCGUAAAGCGCACGUAGGCGGAUUGCUAAGUCAGGGGUGAAAUCCUGGAGCUCAACUCCAGAACUGCCUUUGAUACUGGCGACCUUGAGUCCGGGAGAGGUGAGUGGAACUGCGAGUGUAGAGGUGAAAUUCGUAGAUAUUCGCAAGAACACCAGUGGCGAAGGCGGCUCACUGGCCCGGUACUGACGCUGAGGUGCGAAAGCUAGGGUAGCAAACGGG
rnacentral:rRNA from 1 species